rnacentral:rRNA from 1 species
UACAGAGGUCUCAAGCGUUGUUCGGAUUCAUUGGGCGUAAAGGGUGCGUAGGUGGCGCGGUAAGUCGGGUGUGAAAUUUCGGAGCUUAACUCCGAAACUGCAUUCGAUACUGCCGUGCUUGAGGACUGGAGAGGAGACUGGAAUUUACGGUGUAGCAGUGAAAUGACGUAGAUAUCGUAAGGGAAGACCAGUGGCGAAGGCGGGGUC